rnacentral:rRNA from 1 species
UGGGGAAUAUUGCACAAUGGGCGCAAGCCUGAUGCAGCCAUGCCGCGUGUGUGAAGAAGGCCUUCGGGUUGUAAAGCACUUUCAGCGAGGAGGAAGGUGGUGAGCUUAAUACGCUCAUCAAUUGACGUUACUCGCAGAAGAAGCACCGGCUAACUCCGUGCCAGCAGCCGCGGUAAUACGGAGGGUGCAAGCGUUAAUCGGAAUUACUGGGCGUAAAGCGCACGCAGGCGGUUUGUUAAGUCAGAUGUGAAAAUCCCCGGGCUCAACCUGGGAACUGCAUUUGAAACUGGCAAGCUAGAGUCUCGUAGAGGGGGGUAGAAUUCCAGGUGUAGCGGUGAAAUGCGUAGAGAUCUGGAGGAAUACCGGUGGCGAAGGCGGCCCCCUGGACGAAGACUGACGCUCAGGUGCGAAAAGCGUGGGGAGCAAAACAGGAUUAGAUACCCUGGUAGUCCACGCUGUAAACGAUGUCGAUUUUGGAGGUUGUGCCCUUGAGGCGUGGCUUCCGGAGCUAACG